rnacentral:rRNA from 1 species
CCUACGGGGGGCAGCAGUGGGGAAUAUUGCGCAAUGGGCGAAAGCCUGACGCAGCGACGCCGCGUGAGGGAUGAAGGUCCUCGGAUCGUAAACCUCUGUCAGCAGGGAAGAACGGUCACUGUGCUAAUCAGCAGUGAAUUGACGGUACCUGCAAAGGAAGCACCGGCUAACUCCGUGCCAGCAGCCGCGGUAAUACGGAGGGUGCGAGCGUUAAUCGGAAUUACUGGGCGUAAAGCGCUCGUAGGCGGUAUGUCAAGGCAAGGGGGAAAUCCCCGCGCUCAACGUGGGAACUGCCUUUGAAACUGGCAAACUGGAGUGUGUGAGAGGAUAGUGGAAUGCCAGGUGUAGGAGUGAAAUCCGUAGAUAUCUGGCGGAACAUCAGUGGCGAAGGCGACUAUCUGGCACAUAACUGACGCUGAGGAGCGAAAGCGUGGGUAGCAAACAGGAUUAGAUACCCCUGUAGUC